rnacentral:rRNA from 1 species
GAUGAACGCUAGCGGCGGGCAUAAUACAUGCAAGUCGAACGGGAUAAGUUGUAGCAAUACGACUUUGAGAGUGGCGCACGGGUGCGUAACACGUAUGCAACUUGCCCUUAACAGGGGGAUAGCUUUCGGAAACGAAAAUUAAUACCCCAUAUUAUUACUUAUAUGCAUGUAUGAGUAAUGAAAGCUCCGGCGGUUAAGGAUGGGCAUGCGGCUGAUUAGCUAGUUGGCGAGGUAAAGGCUCACCAAGGCGACGAUCAGUAGGGGGUCUGAGAGGAUGUCCCCCACACUGGUACUGAGACACGGACCAGACUCCUACGGGAGGCAGCAGUAGGGAAUAUUGGUCAAUGGAGGCAACUCUGAACCAGCCACGCCGCGUGCAGGAUGAAGGCCCUCUGGGUUGUAAACUGCUUUUGUUAGGGAAAAAACCCCUCGAUGCGUUGAGGGUUGAUGGUACCUAAAGAAUAAGGAUCGGCUAACUCCGUGCCAGCCGCCGCAGUAAAAC